rnacentral:rRNA from 1 species
CACGUAGGGGGCAAGCGUUGUCCGGAUUUAUUGGGCGUAAAGAGCUCGUAGGCGGUUGGGUAAGUCGGGUGUGAAAACUCCAGGCUCAACUUGGAGAUGCCACCCGAUACUGCUCUGACUUGAGUUCGGUAGGGGAGUGGGGAAUUCCUGGUGUAGCGGUGAAAUGCGCAGAUAUCAGGAGGAACACCGGUGGCGAAGGCGCCACUCUGGGCCGAAACUGACGCUGAGGAGCGAAAGCGUGGGUAGCAAACAGG